AUAACUAGAAAGAGCUUUUCGCAAAACCUUGGUUAGAGAAUAUCAAUUAGACUUCGUUUGGGAUUGCGGGGAGAUUGCAUCACGUGCGAUAAAAAAGUACGAUGGGAAAAUAUCCUGUUUGUUUUCGUACGUAAUAUUGUGUUCCGUAUAUCGCGAUGAGUUGGUUAUGAUAUAUUUUCUGUAGUUCCACCGGAGAAUGCAGAAAUAUAUUCCUAUAUAUUUUUAUCUUAACUUCAUUUUAUUAGAUAGCAUUAGAUAGGCCUCAAUACCAAACCAAGCCUUAGAGGAGAGUAGAAUUUUUAAUCAAAAUUUUUUAUGUCGUUGUUU
rnacentral:lncRNA from 1 species